rnacentral:sRNA from 1 species
CUUCUUCGAUCUGCUGCGGGCAAAUGAAGUGAAUGUGGGUGUCGACCCCGCCGGCGGUGACGAUCAUGCCUUCGCCGGCGAUGAUUUCGGUGGCGCCGCCGAUGGCCAUUGUCACGCCGGGCUGCACGUCCGGAUUGCCGGCCUUGCCGAUGGCGGCGAUCAGGCCGUUUUUCAGGCCGAUAUCGGCCUUGACGAUGCCCCAGUGGUCGACGAUGACGGCAUUGGUGAUGACGGUAUCCAUCACGUCGGCGUGCAGGCGCUGCGACUGGCCCAUGCCGUCGCGGAUG